rnacentral:rRNA from 1 species
UUUAAGUUUUUUGAACUGGCUCAGAUUGAACGCUGGCGGCAGGCCUAACACAUGCAAGUCGAGCGGCAGCACGGGUACUUGUACCUGGUGGCGAGCGGCGGACGGGUGAGUAAUGCCUAGGAAUCUGCCUGGUAGUGGGGGAUAACGCUCGGAAACGGACGCUAAUACCGCAUACGUCCUACGGGAGAAAGCAGGGGACCUUCGGGCCUUGCGCUAUCAGAUGAGCCUAGGUCGGAUUAGCUAGUUGGUGAGGUAAUGGCUCACCAAGGCGACGAUCCGUAACUGGUCUGAGAGGAUGAUCAGUCACACUGGAACUGAGACACGGUCCAGACUCCUACGGGAGGCAGCAGUGGGGAAUAUUGGACAAUGGGCGAAAGCCUGAUCCAGCCAUGCCGCGUGUGUGAAGAAGGUCUUCGGAUUGUAAAGCACUUUAAUUGGGAGGAAGCAUUA